CAUGGAGGCUCCAGCCAGGCGGGAGCUACAGCGGCAAUGGUGCAUGUCCUGAUCAUGCAGUUCACAACCAAACCCACAGCUGCAACAAGCACAAUGAUGCCAGGUGAAAUUUGCAAACCAGGAUGUUCCUCGGAUGGCACCGGUGAGUAAGCUUCCUUCUGCCUCUCCACUUGACUGUCACACAAGUCUUCUGUAACAACUUGAUGUGCCUAGAGAAAGACUCAAGUCUCCUCCCACACUGAUUCCACAAGGCUGUGUCCAGUCAAUUCCUGGUUGUGAGGAAAGGCUGAGAACAUGAAAACAUGAAGUGAGAGGAUGGGGGACCUUGCCAGCCCGCACUGCCUUGGCUUGGAGACACUACUGAUGGACUAUGUCAACAGACAGGACACUACUGAUUCUAAGGUGCGUGGGAAAUGAGUUAGAAAGAUUGGGACCUGGCCAAAGUAGAAGAAGUGAUGAUGGUGAAUAUCCAAUAGCAAUAAUAAUGGUAACUGACAUUUAUCGAAUACCUCCAAGGUGCCAGGAGCAUUCU